rnacentral:lncRNA from 1 species
CUCUCUCUCCCCCACGUAUUUCUCUCCUCCCUCUCCUUCCUUAAUUCUCUCUCUUCUCUCCCCACGCGAGUUCUCCUCUCUCUCCCCGUUCUUUCCUUUCUCUACCUCCCUCUCUUUCCAUUCUGCACCAGAGACCAAACCGAGCUGCACCUUCCCCACGUCUCUUUCCUUUCUCCUACCUCUCUCCUCUCUUUCCUUACUGCUCCUCUCCCCCGUCACCUUCCUUCUUCCACCAAACCGAAACCGAGCAGCUCCCUCUCCUCGUGAUUCCCUCCCCAGAGCCUCUCCUCCUUCCUUUCUACUCCCUCCACCCAGCCUAUAUAUACC